GGCCCCUGAUGACACAACCUUCUGACACCUAGUAUGAGAGCUGCUGCUCCUGAUUCCACUCUGCUCUGAGGCCA